GGUCUUGUAGCUGAGCAGGCAGAGCGGACGCUGUACAAAAGCGUAGACGGCGUUCAUGUGUGGGUUCGAGUCCCACUGUGACUA
rnacentral:tRNA from 1 species